rnacentral:lncRNA from 1 species
CCGCCCCAAGCAGCCCCUGGUCCUCCGCCUCCCAGCCCCGCUUCAGGCUCAUCUCCUCGCCGCCGACGCCAGAGCCCUCCUCGCCUCGCCAGGCAUUGCCCGCUUCAUGCCGGACCGCAUGCCCGCCGUCUCCACCGUCACCUUCCUCGCACCUCCGUCCCUGCGCCACCUCCUCUGCAACGCCGCAAAAGCCAGCCGCGACCCCGGCGCCACCACCUCCUGCACCUGCCAUCUCUUCCCCGCCCUUCCCCGCGACCCUGCCCACGGCCACAUCUUCACCCACCGCCUACAGCCCGCCUUGACGCCGGCCGCCGCUGCCCUCUGGUCCAUGGGAGCCAACACGCGCCCACCGCCUGACCCCAGCGCGCCUCUCCCCACGUCCCUGGCCGACGACCUGCGGAAGUCACUCUUCGGAUACUGCCGACGCGCCGCCCGCGCCGCACGCAUCACCACCGACUCCGCCACAUCUUGGGUCAACGCCGCCGCCGCUGCCCUGCGCGCCACUGUCGACCCUUCCGCCGCCGCCUCCGUCGAUGCCGACAUGCUCCUCCACCCCGCCCCCACACCGCCGCCUCCACCGGCGUUUCCGCUGUCCGCCGCAGAUGUCGCCGCCGCCACCGCCACCUUCCGCAGCGUCCGCCGCAACCUCAUCAUCACGGUAAUGGACAAGUGCCCGGACAACUUUGUCGCCGUGUGCCCCCACCUAUAUCAUGCCAAGCUCGCCGCCGACUUGCAAGCAUCCCCCUUCUACGCCGUCGCCACCCCUGCUGACUACUCCGCCAGCCUUACCGCCGUCGGGCUUAUGCUGCAGCCGCUGGGGCUCCCCUUCCACGCCGCCCGGCCGCCACCUGUCAACUACGGCACCGGCAAGUGCCACAAGACCCCCUUCGGUUUUCGCUACAUCACCGCCUCUCCCGCCAUCCCCACCACCGAUGCCGCCGUCGUCCUCACCGGCUUCCUCCGUACGCUGGACGCCACCCUGCCGAAACUGUACGCAGCCCUCUUUCCGCGCCUGCCCCUGCGGCCGUGGCACGUCAACGGCCCCUUCGUCUCCGCCAGCCUGCUGCGCCACGCGUCCCUCGCCCCCAGGCCGAUCAACCCUCUCCCCGGCGCCGGCACCACCACCUUCACGCCCACACCCCCCGCCGCCACCACCCCCGCACCGACUACCCCCGCCCCGGACUUCCCCUGUGCCGUCUGCGGCCGCACCAAUGGUCACGGCCUCAUCCUGUGUGAUCACCCCGGCGCUCGCACCGACGGCCAUGCCACAUGCCUCGUCGGCGCCCACGGCGCAUGCUUACGGCCCGCAAUCAGCACACGCGCCGCCCACCGCAUGGGCACCUGGCACUGCCCCCUGCACGCGCCGCAGCCUUUUGAGGACCCCGCGACAUCCUGCCCCUACACUGGCACCCUCACCUUCGGCCGCACGAUCCGGUACCCGCCCCCUGCCCCUGGGCCACCCAUCGCCACCGUCACCUACACCGCCUCGACUGCCGCGCCAUGUCAGCUGCCCGGCCCUAUCUCCGCGCCGGCCGUGUGCACAUAUGACGUGGAACGGCUCUUCACCAACCUGCCUAUUCCUACCUGCAUCGAGCAUUUGGUCAACCUCUUCUCCCUCGUCCUCUCCACCCUGCAUGAUGGAGCCGCCGGCCUCCAAUUCUACCCGUACAACCGUGCAGCCGAAGCCCAGUGGCCUACCGAAGCCGCAUGGCUUGCCCGCGCCAGCCCCAAAUCCACCUCCGCCGCCCGCCGCGGGCGCCCCCCGCCUGCUCCCCAUCCGCAUCGAGGUCUCGACGCUCACGGCCGAUACUAUAUGUGGACGCCCGGCGUCCUCCGCACGGUGCUGCGCGCCCUGCUUGCGCAUGCCUACACCUCCUACCGCGGCCAGCCCUACCUGCAAAUUCGCGGCGUCGCCAUGGGCGCCAACUUCGCUUCGUACGUUGCCAACCUGGUCCUUGCCUAUGAUGAGUUGCGCUGGCAGCGCGCCCUCUACACCCGCGUCUUCAUGCCCUCCGCCAGCUCCUUGUGCGCGGAAGCUUCCCUCGCCCUUGAUGUGCUACUGGCGUUCCAAGAUACCCAGCGGUACACCGACGACCUCCUCGGCUGCUGCAACCCCUUCCUUCCCCACCUGCUGCUGCAAUCCCAAUCGCUUGCCGGCAUCCCUGGCAUCUACUCCACCGACCUCACCUUGGCGGCCUCCGGCGCCACACCGGCCGCCGGCGUCGCCACGCCUUACCUCAACUUCGCCAUCACCCCCCACAGCAGCAACAUCUACGGGCACGUCGUGUACGACCUACAGCCGUACGACAAACGCGACAGCCCCAAGUUUGCGCAGCUCGGCAUCUCCCGCUUCACCCCGUUCUACUCCUGCAUCCCCCGGCACGUGCGCUUCAACGUUGUCAUCGGCGCCCUCGUCACCCUUGCGCGGCUCUGCACCACCCUCGGCACCUUCAUCACGUCAGCACGGCGCACGCUGCGACGGCUGCAUCUGCGCGCCUACCCGCGCCCCUUCCUCCGCAAGGCCCUCAUGCGCUUCUAUGGUCAGCAUCGCCAACUGCUGCCGGGUACCAUGACCUCACGCGGGCUCCUCAGCCUCCUGCCGCCCCCGGAUCUGCCCCCUCCUCCGCCGGCGGCCCCGCCGCCGCCUCCCCCUCCGGCCCCCGCGCCACCAGUCGCCGCCGCCGUCGUCCUGCCGGCCCUGCCCGCACCACCGCUUCCCUUCCCUCCUGCUGGCCACGCGGCAUGGUACCACGGCGACAACAACAUCGGCUCAGGCGACGACAUGUCCAUCUCCUCUGACAGCGGCAGCGAUAUGUCCAUCUGUUAGCAGCAGCCCCAGAUGUGACGCAGCAGCGUCAGCCUCAGCCAGCACGACAGCCGUGGAGCGGCGACCUGGGCGACGGUAGCGGCGGUACCGAGCGGUGCGGUGGCUUGUAGUAGGUGUUUGGGGGGUGGGGCGCCGGUCCCGGCUGCCCUGAACCGCUCUGCGGUGCGGGGACGGCCGUGCCGGUGUUCCCGAGCUGGGCUUCUGGUUUCCAGUUUUACGGUAGGGACACAGGUCGGUGCUAAGUUUGGGGCUUGGCGCGCGUGUGGGCCUUUUCCUUGUCGGUUCGGCGCGGGUCGGGUUCUUGCUUGGGUUUGCGUUAGGGGCGCUGGUUUUCGGGAGUGUGCUGUCCCGCCGGCCGUGUGUGGGGCGUGCGGUGCGUGAUCGCCGGCUUCUCGGCCGUCUUGUGGGUUGUGUGUGCGCGUGUGAGUGCCUGUUUGCGGCGGGCGCGUGUUGGCUGCGUAGGCGGGCUCCUUGGCGGGCUUUUCGUCCUGGCUGUGUUUUGCCCUGUGUGUGUGCGCGUGUCCCCUCUCCGCGCUCUCGUGCCGCAGGGCUGCUGGUUUUAAGACGCCGCCUCCUGUCUUGCCACCGGGGAGCUCUUCGUGAGCCCGGGCCCCAUCCAGCCACGUACCCAAGUACCCACCUACGUACCAGCCCCAGCGCUGCCAGCCUCUGCAGCCACCCAGCGUCCCAUGCCAGCUGUCCCGUGCCUCUCCCCAGCUGUCCCGUGCCUCUCCCCAGCUGUCCCACCCCAGCAGUCCCACAUCCGCUGUCCCCUCCCAGCUGUCCCUUCCAGUAGUCCCUUCCAGUUGUCCCUUCCAGCUGUCCCACACCAACUGUCCCACCCCAGCUGUCCCUUCGGCUCCCUUCUCAAACGCAGCUUCAGCAAAAUCUACAGCCUGCCCGACUCCCGGCGUGUGCGGCCUUCCGCCCGCCUUCCAAAACGUAACAGCCCCCGCCUCUCCUCGCCAGCCGCUCACAGCCGAAACUCUGCUUCUUUCUUUAUCAGCCACAAACAUCAGCCACAAACAAUGCCUCGGAAACAACGCCUCGGAAACUUCCUCCCAACUAGUGCGCGGCCACAGCUCCCCUACCGAACGUCGCAGCACCUAUCCUCACCAUCAGCAACGCUUCCUCACCUCCGGUUGUGUUGUUGGCGUGUUGCACCGCAUUCGGCCUGCCCGCCACAAUUGUCGUACACAUUCGGGCCCCUCUUCUGCUUUGCUUCGCCUUGUUCUUGCCCCUGUUUGUCACACUGUCGCCCGGCCAUUGUUUUGCUGCACGCCGUUGCAUUACGCUAGUGCUCGUCUACACAGCUCAUCCGUGGACGCCGGUCGACUGCCUGCAGGUGCGCAUCGGCUAUGCUAUCCGCGCGGUGUGGCGUCGCAUUGAGUCUGUGUGGUGCUAUCGCCUUGGCCGGGCGCCCGGAGCGUGAGGAAUGCGCGUCAGCAAAACAUCGACACAACCUGCCAGCUACCGUCGGUACAGUAACAGCGCGCGAACGACGCACCAAUGCCUUGUCCCUUCCUGCUACGCAUUUAUGUGGGCACGGGUGGGAGCCACACACAUCGGGACUACGCUUUCCUGCCCCUUGCCAUGUUCCAUCACGAGCAAGCAGUGGCAGGGCGACAGUAUGACAACCAGGGUCCACAAAACGGCGCGGCAAGACCGAAGAGCCCAAAUUGUACGAUGAGUGGUGGGCGAGUUGAGUGUGAGUAGCCCCCAUCAGCUGGUUGCCCCCGUGGUUGCCCCUCUCGCGGCACCAUGCAUUUAGCUGGCCACAUUGUCACGGUGCUCUCAUGCUUACUCCAAUUUGCGCUCGCCACAGCGGCACAGCCGCAAGCGUACAGCCAUCAGCCGCCAAUUUCUUUGACGCGUCGCAGCCCCUGGCAGCCCCCAUUGCACUCAGCCACAGUUCUGCACGCAUGCUUCGCACGUCCCAUUAGCACAUGCAAGUUCGCAACCGCUUACUGCCCUAAUCCCAGCCUCGCUCACAUGCGAUCACUUUUGCCAUAGGCCCGGCCUCGCUCGCCACGCUUCAAACCUGCGCAGUAACCACAUCUCAUGCCUUAAGUCACGGUAGCAUGGCUAGGGACCAGACGGGCCCAUCUCGCUGCCACAACCACAGCUAGUAACACGCCAACCGCUGUUUGAUAAUGCAGCCACCUGCGCGCAACCAAAUCACUAGGGCGUGCACCCCUAUGGCUUCAGAGGACCGGCAUCACGCAUUGUUGCACUAGUCAAACUGCGGCUCAGAGGUCCCUAGCGUCAAGAACGCUGCACAGCUCGCCAGGCAGCACGCCGCAAUCAUUUGAAACACCAGGCUCCAGGAUCCCGUGCUGUCCAGGAUGACGCCUACCAGGAACACAAAGGCACUGCCUGCCAGGCUGGCAGCCGCGUUAGUGGUGCCGAAGAGCACACUGCAAGCAGGGAAGGCAGCAAGCGUGUCAGGAAGUGAAGUCGGGGCAAAGAGUUCAGUUGGUUAGGACGUGGCACACGUCCAUCCCGCUGGGCAGGAUAGCACAGCCACACAUGCAAGCCGCAGGCGAGCCCUGCCAUGCCCCAACCUGGCCAUCCGUGUGGCGAUGUCCUGGUGCGUGGAGGCGAAGCCGCCCGCCUGCAGCCCCAGGAACGCCAUCGUCAUCGUCAUCAGCACUACCGCCGAGCGCAGCUCGGGGCUCUCGCUAGCUAAGUCCGACAGCCGGCUUGGGCCACCGGUGUCCACCGUGCUCAGCGCUCUCCGGCCGCUGUGGUGCACGCCCGCCGCGGCCUCCACACCAUCCACGACGACAGUGGCAUUGGCCGCCGCGCCUGCAACGGCGGCGACUGCCGCCUGACGGGCACCGCCGCUGCCCCAGGCCAGGUAGAGCAGGCACACCGCCGGCCCCACACUUCCCGCGAGCUGCAGGAGCUUGCGCGUGCGUGUGGUGGUGAGCAGCUUGCGGUUGAUGAGGUAGUCGGCCACCCAGCCGCUGAUGUUGGUGCCACACGCCAUGGCCACCCACGGCAGUACGGACAAGAAUGAGGAGCUGCGCACAUCCAGCCCAAACGCAUAGUUGUAGUAGCGCGGCAUCCACGAAAUGGCCGUGUUGUAUAGGAUGCCUGUUGCGGUGCAGCGUGGCACAGGGCGGCACCGUGAAAGAGCCAGCGGUGCUGCAAGGAGGAAUGUCAAAUGUCGUCGCGGUUCAGUACCGCACUAGCGGCCUUGCAAUCGACUGGUAUCUGUGCUUCAGCUGCGCCGGUCGCAAUCUUGUGUGCGCAUCGUAGGGGGCUCACCGAAGGUGGAGUGGCACGCCAUGAGCGCCCAGAAGACGCGGUUGCUCAGGAUCUGCGGAGCCGGCGGAAUGCAGUCAAGCAUUCCUUCAUGGCUGCAUGCACAGACUGGAGUUGCCUAAACCGCCAUGCACCGACCACGCAGCCCUUACAGCUAUUCACUUGCUGUGCACGCGCUUGCUCACCGUGCGCCAGGGCAGCUCGCUCAUCUUGGGCGGCGAGAAGCCGGCUGGCAGGUGGUCACGCAGCAGCGGCGGGUCCGGCGACACCAGCGGAUGCCACAAGGCGAUCCAGAUAAAGCCCGCUAACCCGUAAACGUAAAACAUGAGGUCCACGCCUGACAGAGAUGCACAAAGGUGCACCAAGCUUAAAUGGUGCUCACGAUGCCCAAGUGCUGGGACCAUGCCCCGACACGUAUACACUACCCAUGACUCUGAUUACCCCAAGCUCGCGGCCCAUGCCCUCACCUGCCGACGCAAUGAUAAGCGGGGACCAGAGCAGCGACAGAAUGCUGCCGAUCUGGUGCCCUGCAUGGUAAUAAGGGAGCCCGAUGGCAAUGCACGGUUGGUUGUAUGCUGUUGGGCGCUAGUGGUCACAGUCUUCGGCGGCGUCACACACCUCAAAGGCCAAGAAAAAACACGCGCACACAUGUGCCCACGUACAACGCGGCCAACGCACCGCUGUACAUCAGGCUCAGGCUCCUGGACCGGCGUUCGCGUGGAACCCAACCCUUGAUGAUUGCCUGGUGGCGUGAGCGCACACAGGGCAUGUGAAAGUUGCGAAGCCAUUGCGAGUGCGCCCGCUGCAAGACAGCUGAACAAUCCUGCCAUGGUUGUAAAACUCACUCCACGCCCGCCGGCCCGACACCCGUAAGGCAUCGCCUCACCUGCAUCGUGGGAUACGCCACGCCCUCGCCCAGGCCCAUGCAGGCCCGCACCAAAAAUAAAGGCCACAGGCCCAAGGCAGCCGCGGGCGGCGUCAGCAUUGUGAACGCACUCCACACCACCACACCCAGGCUAAGUACCAGCUUCGGCGAAUAGGCCGAAGCCAGGUAACCGCCGUAGAAAUUGGUGAUGGUGUGUCCCAAGUUGAAGGCACUGCAUCACAGGUUGCACAGGUUGCACAGGCCGGCGCUAGGCUAGGCGUUGGACAGCCAGACCCCGUGUAGCAAGGUGCGCUGGCGUGUGAGCAACUGAGCCUCGGCGCGCGCCCACCUGCUGACCGCGCCCUUGACCAUGUCGCUCCAGCCAUACUUGAGACCCAUGGGCAGCACCGCAACUGCACAGGGCGAGUCCAAUCACGGUGUUGAGGUGCAGCGCUGAGAGCGCGGACAGGGCCAUCGCCUGACUGGGGGCCCACUUGCGGUAGCCCUCCCUUCGUGCCUCCCGCUUGGGCUCACCGCUCAUAGCCGUGCGGUCGAUAGAGCAAAUGAUGGCCACAGCUCCACACAGCACCACCACAGUCAGCCAUGAUGCAUACCAGUUGGCGUACGAGGCGGGGGCGUCCAGCAGGCCCCGGGCUGCUCCGCGCGAGUCUGUAACAGCAAGUGAGCGGCUCUUGCCGCCUGCAGAGUGCAUGGUCCUUUGGUGGAGAUGCAUAUACAAUUGCUUUUAUCAGCUCCUGUAGACUAAGACCUGCUACGGCCAAAUUGCAUGUUUCGUGCACAAGAACAACAACGACUUAGUCCCAAAGAAUGUGACAGAUUGUAUUAUCUGAAUAAUGUUCAUAUAAACAUAAUAGCUCUCUAGUCUCUGUCCAAUGAUGACUGCCAUCGAUACCAGUCACGCAGCGUGUCUGCCCGCUCCCUGUCCUGCCCAGAUUCAAGCCCACCCCGGAUGCCAUGCCGUACAGCUCUCUUACAGUUCGUGAGAAGAUUCCACUAUGCGUUACCUGAUAAGCUGUCUGCUGUCCACGCCAAUUCACUUCACAUGCCAAUGCAAGUAAGCGCAACGCAUGAAGCGCUGAGGGUGUUGGCACCCUUGACGUACAUAGACCUUUGGCAAGAGUUGACACACGCUUUGCCUGCCUGAUUUCCGUCAGUCCAUCCGCAACACCCUAACAUUUCGUGUCCUUAGUUCAAGAGGUGGAGAAAUUAUCAAAGUGCACCGUGACAUGCUUUACACGGCUCGUUCCCAGCUGUGGCCCAAUUAGGCGCAGUCUCAGGAAGCAUCACGAGAGAUAGGUAGUGUCUCGUCUUUAAAGUACAUCUGGAUGUAUGUACCGCACAUGAAGCGAGCAGUUUCUGUCCAUGGUCAUUCUGUUUGGAGGUCAUAGCGCAUUGGCGCACACCGUCAUCCGUGCGAACACACACAUUCACGCGCUCCAAUACCCGGGAACAUCCCUUGGGUCCAUCUAUCCCCCACCUUGCCCCCGACGCGGCAACUAAGGCCCCAUAAAUCAAAAUGCUGUGCAGCGCAUCAACUGCCUCCGAAACGCACAUAUGCUAGCAUCCCCAUCCCCAGCUGCUCCGCGCUCGCUGCUGUCACAGCGCUCAAGACUGCGCCUCAUCCUCGCCCAUCUGGUCCUCGUCGUCAAUCUUGGGGGCCAGGUAGAACUUAACGGCGCCGAGCUCGCCAAUCUGCAAUCCAGGGCGACAACAAGGCAUGCGAGCGCACGUACAGUAGUAAGACAGGAACCAGCAGGUCGGGCAGGGGCAGUGGCAGGCAAGACUGGUGCGGGUGGAAUGGGCCGGAGCUAAGCCAACCGCAACAGCAAACAGCCACUCUUUGUUCGGGUUGUUAACCCGUGCUAUUGACCCCAGAAGCCCAUAUCCCCACCUCAGAAGCCCAUACUCCCGUUUCUGGUGCUGACUGGCCAGCGACCAUAUUGCAUUGCACUCCAAGCCCACGAAAUUCCCACCUGGUACUCGACGACGAUUGGCAGGUCCUUGGUGAGCGACAGCUUGACCACCGGCGCCAGAGGGGUGGCCUUGGCGAAAUUGUUGAGGUAGCGCAGGGCGAAGGUCAGCGCAACGGGCUCCUUCAGGUCAAUAAUGGUCUGCUCCUCGGGCUUCUCGGGCGUGGUGUUGUGCCUGCAAAAGAGCAGGAAGUCGAGAGGUCAGGGACCCGCGCAUGUGGUACCAACGCAUAAUACGCUGUAUACGACACGCCGGUGAGCAACCAUGAGGACACAGUAACUGGUGACCAUUAACACCAGGCUCCCGGUGAGCGCGCGACAUUGCGCUGCUUCCCUAAUUGCGUGUCAUACCCCACGCCCACCAGCGCUGGCCGCCCCCUUUGUCCCCACCCACCGGAGAGUCACGUUGGCAGUGCCCACGUCUCCCGAGGUGGAGAACUUGAUGCCCUCCUUCGUCGCUGAGAUGAGCACGGUGUCGCCGAUGCUGGUCAGGUCGCGGACGAUGCGCUGGUACUCCGAAGAUGGCAUCUUAAUUUCCGCCGAGUACUCCUGGUCGGGAAUGCCCAGGUGCUCCGACUCAAUGGACAUGAGCUUCAGGUCGAAGUCCGAGAUGCGGUCCUGGUUCGAGGACUCGAACAUGAGCGUGAGCUGGUCGGCGUUGUCCUCGGCCUUCAGCGUGAUGGUGUCCUCGUUGCCUGCGAGCCGCAAUUUCGUGCGUUACUUUCAUACCCCUAUCAAACGCGCUGGCCGACGCGGCACAUACCUGCGCACUUGAGGAUCUUGGACAGGUUCUGAAAGUGGAUGCCCAUAGCCAUGUUCCGGUCGCAGCGAAAAUGCUCAAAUCCAUCCUCUCGCAGUGCUAGGGACACAAGGCAAACGUGGGAGGAGUCCAUCGCCUGCAGCUGCAGGCCGGUCGAGCUGACAUCGAAAUUGCCCUCCGUCACCAGCUCCUUCAGGGCCUCCACCAGCUUCUUCAGCACAGCGCCCUGGGUAAUACGUGCCUCAAACAUGAUUGCUGCGGGGCAGAGCGGCAACACCAGAGCUGUCAGAGCGCGCGGGAGUCCAAAGUGGGCGCGAAAAAUUCAAGGCCGCUUAAGCAGGGCUCACUGAGACGUGGAAGGCUAUACUAAGCACCGGCGAGCAAAUGCACGGGCUUUCAAGUGCAGCGGCCUCACCUAGCUGCUCAAAUCCGCAGAAAUAAGAGUUUGGUACAGUUGAGAGCUUGUGCUAUGCAAGCUGUGAGUUGAUGCAGGUUAAGUAAAUAGCGUUGUGUGAGUCCAGAAACAAGCUGCGAGCAGCGAGGCCUUGAUUCAUUUGGCAGUUCAAGUUGCCCCAUGCAGGUUUUGAAUCAAAUGCGCAAGCCCAGGCCCGCACUUGUAGUGUCCGCACUUGUAGUGUAACUUUGUAGUUGCACGUGAACUUAUACCGGCAAUACAGUAACUCUUGGCACCCAGCUGUCGGUGACACCGAGCUUGGGCUGCCCGCGCACACCAACGGGAGCGCCGUGCCCGCGGACCCUGCGCAGUUUCCAUCCUCCCACCCUCCCAUGCCUACAGGAACGUUUGUCCGGCAAGGUCUCAAAGGCUUCCUCCCGGUCACCUGUGCGCAAAUAGUUCGCCUGCUUGACCUCUCCGGGGACGCCUUGACGUUUUGCGGGGGGAUGGGGCGAUGGACGGGGUGAUAUGGUACUCGUCCUCCUCCAUGCGCCCAUGCCCACAAGUCCAAUCACUACCACUCCCACUUCACCACAUGGAUCUCUCCGAAGUCCGGACUCCUCCAUCUCCGCCAGUCCGCCUGCACAUCGCUGAGCUGACGUUGAUAUAUGAAAUGCCGUUUCGCCUGUAAAAGAGAUGUUUUGUUGUGUGUGGUCACAGGGUGAUGCACGCGCCGUGCGUUCCUGUCCUUGUAGGAACCGAGGCCCGGGCCGGGGCCUUGUAACGCCCACAAAACUCAUUAAUGAGCAACGGUAAGUGUACUUGUUCGACUGUGCUACGUCAACUCCUAACAGCCCAAGCGCCUAGGCCGCUAGGCGCCCGUGCACGAAAUGCCCGCUCCUCCCUGCACAGCGCCACCCUAUGGACGUGAGGUAGGGUGUCACCACUACACCUGUGCUGCGGACCUUCCGCGCGGCCCUGAUGAGCGGCUGCGCUCCUGCAGCGUACCAUUACCACUGCGUUCCCCACGUCCCGCCCUGCUGAUUGCCACACACAGACAUAGCGCCCGCUCACGUGCGCCCCCGUGCACAUUGUAACGCCUAGCAGCGUUGAUGCUUGCAUGGCUGCUUGUAGUAUGUAUCAUGUAGUAUGGAGAGAGUACGGUAUGUAAAGCUGGAGAUUCAAGGGUGCAUACCUGGGCACCGUGAUGGGCUGAUCGCUGUUGCCUGUUGGCGUACACGUCACUACUAUGUGUGCCACCGGUAGUGUCUCGUAAGUCGCAAGCUCGGUCACUUACUCGCUUACAGCAGCCCUGCUUACAGUCAACCCUCCUCCUACCUCCUCACAGCCGCAAACUGCAGAACAAGCUGCCCAUUUGACAAUGCAGGCUCGCCGCUCCUGCUACUCCUGCCGCACUUACCACAUGGCUGGCUGCUCAUCCACACCUGACUGCAGUACAGAACCAUUCAUACUGCAGCAUCACUGGCCAUAGGAGCACCACACCCUGCAGUGCCGCACAAUCCUGCUUCGUCUGUCUAUCGUCAAGAAGCCUCGCACGUACGACGCCUGCCUUGUCGUGUAAUGCAUGCACUUUUGGACGCGCACCUACUUAUCAACAAGCUCACCGUUGCUCCUAUGCGUCUGGCUACCACCGCCCAGCCCCAAACGGUUUGCUUUCGCAGCCACCCAAUGAAUACCAGUACCCCACAGGUCCGCUGCGGCAUCAGUGCUAGUGCAAAGCAUGUCCCUUUGGUCAUUGCUGGUGUCGUCACUUCAGGUUACCCUGCACGGCCUUGAUUAAGUUCUCCUUGGCGUCCGCGCCCUGCCCACCACGGCCCAGGCGCGCGGAGCUGCGGGUGGCGCGCGGGGGCGCGGAGGUGAGGCUGGCCGCCUCGUAACCCACCUGAACCACAACAACGACAUGCAUGGCGAGUGACUUAUGUUGCGAAGGAACACGGACAUCACCCACAACGCAUCAACCGAUGCACACGCGCUGUGGCAAUUAUGCGUACCUGCUGCGACAUCGCGACACCGAAGCCUUCUUCUUCCUCCUCGUCGUUACGCCCUCGGCGCCCAGGCAGCGCGACGGCCUUGGUGCUGGGCACGCCUGUAGUUUCCGCCGCAGUCAUAUUUCGCUUGCGCGAGCGCCGCCCCACACCCGUCACGGCUCCAGUAAUGGAAUCGUCCUGCGUCCAUAGGGGAUUGUAGAUAUGCAAGUAAGUUCUAGUCGGAGGACAUGCGUUGCAAUUUGAACAAACGUACAUUGGGCACUGAUAAUCGGCCCCCACUCACUGGCGGCUUCAUCGUACCCAGCUGCCGCGACGGCUCUGAAGACGCCGCCCCACCGCCCAUGGAGCCCUCGCUGCCGGUCGGGCCGCCCCCGCCCAUCCCGCUUGGGAGGCCCAACACCGGCAGCAGCAUGGGCAUCUCCAGCUGCGAGCAGGCCAUCUCAGGCGCCGCGACGGCGUUGCUGUGCAGGAAGUUCAUCAGCGAGGCAGCUGCGCCAGCGUGGUCCGGCGGCGAGUCAUCCUCUGCCUCCGCCGGCUGCCCCUGCUCCUGUGGCUGGUGCAGCUGCCCAGGUUGCCCGGCAGCCGCACCACCUGCUUCUGCUACUGCCGCUGCUGCUGAGACAGGCACUGCGACCGGGGGAAGGGGUGCCUUGUCCAUCUUGUGCACGGGCAGCGGCUUCAGCUGCCCGGCUUCAUGACUGGUGGCGCCCGCACCUGCGGCACCUGCUGUGCUGCGUUGCGGCAGCUGCGGCGGCGGCGUGGUCUCGCCGAGGUCCGCCAGGAUGGAUGCGAGCAUGGACUUGGGGGCGCCAGGCACAGCCGGACCAGUGUUGCCCUGCAAGGCGUCGCCAAAUGCGCCCAUAGUCCGCACACGUGGUUUGUCACGGUUGCGCCAGACCGACCAUCAUGUUCAGCUGUUCAGGCCAACACGUUCAUCGCCACCAUGCGUUGCUCGCACCUGCCCGCCCUCGGGGCGCUGGGUCGGCCCGAGGCCGCCCAUAUGCUGUGACGCGAGGCCCAGUUGCGAGGAGGUGCCGCCACCGCCGCCAACGGAGCGCGCGGCCGCCUCCCUCUUCUUCUGCUCCAUUUCCUGCGGCGUGAUGUCUGACGGCAGGAACGCCAUGACCUCGGCCAAAGCCCGACCCUGGUAGGCGCUCUCCAGCACCCAGGUGGCGUUGACGCAGGGAAUGCCCCACCUGCACAGCGAGGCAGCAGCAUGCAUCCCUCAAUGAGGGUGAACGCGGGGCCUUGCAUCCCACCGCGUGGGGUGCGUAGCUUGCAGCCAUACCGAAUAACACGCUUUCACGGGUGCGACAGGUGGUCAAUGCUGCAGCGCGACCCCGCAAGCAAAUGACGGCCCUACGUACUUGACGGCUGCUACGAACUUGUCGCCCUUGGCUGCCUGGAUGACCAGGUAGUGACAGCGCCUGUUCAGCUUGUCCGUGAAGGUGCCACCUGCACGCAACGGCAAGAGGAGGCAGCCGCUGGAUGCAUGAACCCCGCUCACAGCCACAGUGGCUCACAGCGCAGCUGCUUGCCCAAGCUGGUACUUGUUCCGCUUGCUACGUUGGGUCCGAGCCGGGUGAGAUCUAGCACAACUGACGGCAGGUGGAGAGCGUGAACGGGUAACGGGUGCACACGUCCUGACCGCUGACGCACCCAGUCGCUCGAUGAGCGUCUUGAGCACGUCGCGCUGCUCCACAUGGAACUGGCUGACCGCCACGGUGAGGCCCUGGAAGCCAGGUAGCGGCAGCACGUGUGGCAGCGGCCGGAAGAGCGGCGUGAGGCGGUUGACGGGCAGCAGCUCGCCCCGGCCCAGGCAGGCCUUCAACCAGGCCAACGUCACGCGCUGCUCCGGCGUCACACGCCUGUUUGGUGAGUGUAGAGUGCGGAGGUGGUGAUGCGAAGGACAAGACUGCAGGCGGUAAACAACGCUAUCAGGCGCACGGUAUGCGCUUGCGCCUGCACCAAAAGACUCACUCGAACUCGGUGUGGCCGCGGUCUCGCCCUCGUGCGCUCAGUCGGUCCACCAACGACUGGGGCAGGCUAAACGGGCAGACGGCGAAGCGCUUCUGUGGGUCGCGAACGGUCUUGUCUGUGGACGCUGAAAUGACCAUGCCGCCGCCUUGCCUGCGCAUCCAAGAUGAGGGCGUGACCACACCGUUUGCGUCAAAUGGGCAAAAGGGUACAAGCGCAUCCGCCACAAACCAAUGGUACAUGGUUAGACCUGAAGCAUUUACGCAGCUCCCACGCGUCCGCGCUGCCAACACCUUCAGCUGCUGACCUAAAGGCUCCGAACGCCUCACCUAAUCAGCUUAGUCGCAGGUGCCUCCUCCUCCGUCCCCGCCACCGCCGCCAACGUGAACCACAAACCGCUGAAUACGCCCGCCUGGCCGCCGCCACCGCCCGCCCGCACAGCAAAGCUGUCCAUGGUGCGCGUGUUGCCAUCGCCAUCGAGCGGCACGUAGUCGUCGAGGGCCGGCACACCCGAGGCCGCACCCGCCAUGCCAGGCCCUGCCGCAGGCGACGGCUCGCGGCUGCGGGCGCCUCGCCCUGCUCCGCCCUGCAUGAGGCAGCAACAAACAGGCACAGCUUCAACCGAGAGUGGGUCCAAAGGUAGGUGGCUCGCAACCACGUGAACCCGCCAGCGAGCAGCUGCAUAUACGUGCAUCCCGGGGCGCUUACCGGCCCUGCCGCUGUAACCGCCGUUGGCGCCGACCCGCCUGAGAUCCACGUCUGCAGCUGCUUUUCUGUGACGGCGUUGCGGCCCUCGGGCUCCACAUAUGUGCGCCGAUUGACGCACUCGAAGAGCCAGUCCAGCUUGCACAGCCGCACCUGAAAGCAAAGGCACAUUCACAGCCACGCUAUUGCAGCGUGUGCCUGCUGUGGCUACGGCACCUCGUUACAAGCAAGAAGGCCCACGCACCCACACCGCCCGUGCAAUCCCCCCUUACAAAGUGUCCACCUCAACGCAGUUACUAUUGACUGGCUCACCUGUUCCCGGAACUCGCCGAGGUACUGGCGCACCUCCGACAUCUCGUUGACGCUCAGCAGGCUGCCGAACACGAUGUGGGUCACCACACCGUGCCCCGGCGGUGCGCCCCCGGCACCGCCGCCGCCUGAGCCCAGCAGCAAGGGCUCCCGCGUGGCGCCGCUCUCCCGUAUGGCUGUCAGCACCUGCGGCUGCUCGAUGGGCGAGGCGCCCACCACGUACAUCCGCACCCAGUGCAGGAAGUAGCAGUCGUCCGGCGGUUCCGCCGGCAACGCCAGGGCUCGAGGUUGCACCUGCUGCGGCUGCGGCUGCGCCGCCAGGUACUGCGGCUGGUCCCAUGUCGCCUCGCCACCAUAGUAGCUGGGUCCCGGCGGCGGCCGCCCUGGGCCGCCUACCCCUAGCGCCGCGCUACCGCCACGCGCCAAGCCGACGUUGCCGCCUCCUGGCCCCACGACCCUGCAAGGUCGAAUGGCGUCGAGUUAGAGCUCCAUUUGUGCUGCUUGACGCUGCUGCCGCCACCCUUCCCCGCCCGCACGCUCAAGCGAGCCUCACCCCUUGAUGCAGGCGCCCAGCUGGCCGGCGCUCACGGCACCCGUCGCCGCGUCCACGGAUGCAGCGCAGCGAUUUGUUGAGUUGGCCCUGUCACGAUCGAGAAACCCCACAUGGAAAAGUAACGUCUUGCGCUUGCGGCGCAAGGCACGCUCUGCUCUUAUCCCGCUGGUGCCAUGCAGGUCAUAUGACAGCGAACCCCUCAACCCUACACCUCACGGCCCCGUCAAGGUCCUCAAGCGGCGCCAUGCCGCCCUUCCACCAACCGAUUGCCACCACCCACCUACUGCCCGGCCGCCCUGCGUCCGCGCCGCAGCUGGUGAUGUCUGCGGCCACGGUCACUGGUCCCCGACUUGGGUCGUAUGUGUCCAGGCUGUAUGGCCGCUCAUCCAGGCGGCGGCCCGCCUUGAGGCACGCCAGCACCCAGUCCAUGUGCACCACGGCUAGCCCCCAAUCCUUGGCGUGCCUGUGAACAUCCCGCAGCCGCAGCGUCAUGGAGAAGGAUGGGAUGGAUUUAGACGAUGGUGACGUUGAGCCCAGCGCGUGCGGCACGCCUAAGACGGCUGGAUUGACCAACGGCCUGCGCUGUACGCGUGAUGCCCAGUGCCCAUGAGCGGUGCGUUCUGGUGACUGCCCCUGCGCUUACGUGUACUUGUUGCCGCCCACUUUGUUGCUGACCAAGUGGGUCAUGGUCUUGUACAGCUCCGCCGUGUAGUCCGCUCCACCGCUCCGGAGCUGCUUGGCCACGCCAUCGCGCUCCUUCGCGCCGAAGUUUGUGAUGCUGACGCGAAUGCCACUCAGCGGGGCCAACACAUAAGGGGCGUGCGGCACCUGCGCCCUCGCCAGGGGAUGCAAAUAAGCACGGCGCGGUACCGGUCAGGUAAGUUUGAAGGGCACCUCCUGCAUGGUAGAAGGUCCUGCAUGGCAGGAGCCCGGCUCGCCUCUGGAUUCCCUGCUAUCCUGAAGCACCAGCCCCUGUCCCCUGCAGCCGCUGUGCCCAUACCCAGGCCCAACGCACCAGGCCGCCUUGCUUGACGCAUUCUGUCAGCCAGGUCGUGGAGACUGGCACGAGCGCCGGGUUCAGGUUCAGCGCCGUCUGCACACAGUGACCACCGCGUCGAGUGGGGCUCAUAUUAGUCACCCCAGCGUACGGGGCGGCUAAACGGAGCUCCGUCGCGAUACAGCAACGAAAGGGCCCUCACCAGGUAGGGGUCCCGGCCAUCCGCUGUCUUGAGCACGUUGCUGGCUACAAGGAACUGUGCUUGAGACGCAAGCUCUGCGUGACAUAUGCUAGCACCUAAAGCCGUCGCGGUCUCAGUCAAGCUCUGCGGGGCCUCUUCCUGAAUGUUUCCAAACACUAUACCCACGCCGCUGAGCGCCAUGGUAAUCUGCCUCUAUCUAGUACGCAUUAUUUAGUCAUGAUUAGUUCAGGCAUACAAGAGAAAAGAAGUGCCAGGCGUGGAAGCAGCAGCUGUCCAUCCCGUGAUCCCGCGCAGCAUGGAUUGCCCUCGCUUUUCUGCUUGUAGGGCCUAUAACCGAUUGUUGAAACUCACCUGAAAUCAACAAGCAUGCUGCCUCGACCCUUUUAACCGACGCAAAGCCAACGUGCAGACCGAGCAUUGGAGACUUGACUUUCCCGGAUGCAGCCCAUCAAGACCUGCACUUGAUCCCGCUGUUCGUAAAUAAUGAUUAUCAGCGCAUCGUAGCAUCCUCAGGGGGGAAUACGCGCUGCUAUCGCUCGGAAAAUCCGUGGGCCUGCACCGUGGCGAAGUCCUGAGCAGACCUCUGGGCAGCUUUAAGAAGAUGGAUGUUUCCUCGCUGUGGGCAGAGGCUAGCGAGGAGGUGGAGCCCUCGCUGGCGAGCACAGGUGGCGAGGAGGAUCGAUCCUUGGUCACGAGGGUGACCCGCACCCGCACCCGUAGCGCUGCCGCGCCAUCCACUGCACCUCCCCACAAGCGGACGCAGCUGCAACAGCCUGCACCACCCUCCACGCCCGACCGGGCGCAGCCCCUGCCACAGUACGCGCCUUCUGACGUGUCAUCAGCAUCCACUGCUCCGCAUGCGGCAGGCCCCUUCAACAACGUGAUGAGCGCUGCAGCCCUGUCCAGCAGUGCCGUGCCAACCACAAUGCAUGCAACGCCUCAGAGAACAAGGCCAUCAGCCCCGCCCAGCACUCCAGCGCAGCCUGGGCCUGCAUCAGGCACGAGCGGCGGAGGGGGCCUGGUGCUCGUGCCGUCGCGUGAGCUGCAGGUCUCUGGCGACCUGGCGGCAGCGCUGGAAGCAGAGCUGCAGGAGAUUGAGCGCAAGUAAGACAUCACGGGAAGACCUGGAGGCCUAAGAGCAUGCUAGUCUGAACGGAUGUGAAAGCAUUUGGGGUGCGUCGUGCGGCAAGACUCUUGUGCCUUUGGUCUUGCACCUUCAUCCUGCCGCGGAUGGUCCGUCUUGCCCCUUGGUCUGGCCCCUGCACCACUACGGCACCUCGCCGUCACGUGUCUAUGCAGGUACAUUGAUGCGGGGCUGCCGCCACGGCGUAGCAGCCCCGGAUCCACCAGAAGGUGGAGCGCGGCUCAGUCGCCCGCGGCCAGUGCCGGAGGAGCGAGCGCCGUGGCCCAGCGACCCUCCUCCGUGUCCCGCCACUACCAGCUCCACCGCGAUGCAACACACCCGCUGCACCCGCACCACGCCCACCACCACCAGCAUCACCAGCACCACAUUCUGCAUCAGCGCGCAGCGGGUUAUCGCGCACAUGAACAGCACGAGCCGGGCCUUGAGGCAGCCGCGCAUGCGCAGCCCCCGCUCAUGCCGGCCGCAUCGACCCUGCCACCGGCGGACGCGAGCGCCGGCCUUGCAUGCGAGCCAGUGCCGCUGCCUUCACGCCUACUGACUGUUGCCUUGCCGGGCCUGCCAGCAGCGGCUGUACCAGCGCCUGACGCCGCCUCAGCAGGAGCGGCGCGUUCGCUGCUGUCAAUGUUUGCGGUGGACGAAGCGCCCGGUGCUGCGGGCAUGGCAAAGCCAGGCAAUGCGGCUGAGCCCGCUCCUGGCGCGCAGGCCAGCCACGUCGCGCCGGGCGCAGCACCCUCAGGCGCACAGGGCGGCAAGCCGGCAACGGACACGCUGACGCAGCUGCUGUCCCGGCUGCAACAGCAGCAUCUGCCGCUCGGCCAAGAGGAGGGCGCAGGCGAGCCUGGUAGCCCAGCGGUGAGGGCGCUAGGUCAGGGGUUGCAGACGGUGCAUGGAGCUUACGACCGGCUGGAGAGCCGGGUCCGCGAGCUGCGGGCGCUUGUGGGCGGCUCGCCACACAGCUCGGCGCCACACAGCACAGCCGCCAGUGCCCGGAGCAGCCCCGGGCGCAGUGAAGCUGGGCGUGUGCAGGCGGUACGGAUGGAGGGCAGUCCGGCGCAGGCGCAACCAGGCGCAACGACGGCAGCCAGUUCCAGCGGCGGGGGCGCUCGUGGCGCCAGUGUACCAGGCGGUGUACCUGGUGUGUUGUUGCAUACCUUGGCUGGUGUCAGCAAAGAGCUGCAUGGGGCCUCGGGCGAAGGCACAGGAGGAGCCAGUGCAGAUCUCAGCAGCGGCCAUGUCGGCAGCGCCACCCGGGCGCUCGACAUGUUGCUAGGCCUUAGCUUGGUCGACGGCCUGGAGUCUGGCUAUCAUCAACAAAGGCCAGCGGCAGUCGCUGGAGCCGCUGACACUGCUUCCGAUGCAGUGCAAGUGCCAGCUGCGCUUGGCGUUGAGGCAGUUGUUCAUGGAACGGGCACUUGGGAAGCAGUGCCAGCCGGCAUCCCGGCACACGUCUUGCGGCCUUCUCCGGGUGGCAGCAGCGGUGGCGGAAGCCACGCGACCGGCAGCCGCAGCUCGACGGCUGCAGGCAUGCGGGCCAGCGGCUGGAUGUCCACACCCACAGCCACGUCCACUACCAGCGGCGGCGACGCAAGCGCUAGUCUUGCUUCUGAGGUGACGCUGCGGAACACGCCGCAGCAGUUGCAAGCGCCGCAGCUCAGCCACCUCGGCGAGCGCCACCGCCAGCAGCAGUCCCUGCCAAACACAACACCGCUGUUGCCAGCGCAACAGCAGCCACAGCCCGACCAUCAGCACUAUUUCGAUGCAGCGUCACGCCCACAGCGGCCGCAAGAGGAGGGCCGCCAGCCGCGUAUCAGCGACGCAGACGCGCUGGUGCCCCUGGUGGGGCAGGGCCGCGAGGAGGAGCUGCAGAGCGGCAUCCCGCUCAGCUGCGCCCUGCCGGACGGUGGUGCGGCAGUCAUGGAGGCAAGGGCGCGCCUGGCAGCUGCGACCGCCGCCAGCGCACGCACAGCCGCCGCGGCAGCAGCUGCCGCUAAGGCAGCCGAGGACGAUGAUGCGGCCCGCGAGGCCGCACGCAACCAGCCGCCGCCGCCCGUGUUCCAGACCGUGCUCGCUGCGGAUCGGCCAGCGCGGUUACAUGGGCGGCCACUCGGGGCCCUGGAUGCAUAUGCGCUACUGCCGCCUGCCCACGUCACCUCGGUGAUCAGACCGCUCCUGCAUCUGGCCCGCGACUCGGAGGCUGCUGCAGACGCGGACUGCCAGUCACACCGUGUUCUUUCGCCAGAUAUGGUUACGCAGCCAUCGGGCGGCGGCCGCCAGGCGGACGAGCAGUCCCGGACGGCAGCGGCGGCAGCGGCGGCUCGUGCCGAGGAGGAGGCCUUAGAGCUUCUGGAGGCGCUGGAGUGGAGCGUGGCGGCGGACGCGGCGGCCUUGGACGAUGAGUUCCUGGCAGUGCUGGGGCGGCGGUUGGGGCACCUCGACUUGGCGCAUGGCGCAGGUGAUGCCGCGGCUAGCAGCGCAACGGCAAUGCACAGUGCGGCAGGGCAGGCAGCGGGCGCGGGGUUUGGAGGGCCAGCAGCGGCAGCUGUGGCUGCGGCGAUGGCGGCUGCGACGGGCUCAAGUGGUGGUGGACAGGGACUGGAGACUGAGCUGCUGCGGGCAGCACGGCAGACGGCUCUUGGCGCAGUGCAGUCGCGGCUGGAGCAGCUGCAGGUGAGCACGAUGGGGGCACGUCUUCGGUGCUGUUGCCGCCAAUCCAUUACAGCGUGUCCUCGAUUGGUGAUACCGUAAGGCUGUGGCAACUCGUCUCGCAUCGUCGACCUUGCAGGUCCGCUACGCGUCCAAGCGGCGGCAUCGCCGUGUGGCAAGCACCUCCUCCGCCGCUGCGAGACCAGAGGCCAUGGCGGCCGUGCCGGCUGCUGCUGCAGCAGGCGUUGCCUCUGGCGCAGGUGGCAGCCUAACGCCCAGCAAAGGCCUGCAAAGCAUUCUCUCGCAUUGCGCCUCACCCAAUCGGCGCGCAGCUGCAGGCGAGACACCAUCGCCAGCCGCUGCUGCUGCAGGCGUCAGCACAACAGUGGCAGGCUUUGCCCGGUCUCCGCGCUACGGGGCACCUACGGUCGCGGCACAUUCGACGCCGCAUGCAGCGCACCCGCCGCAGCCGGCCGCCGCACGGCGUCUGUAUGCAGCAAACAGCAGCCUGACACCCCCGGCGCAAACUGCCGCGAGCUUCCCGCACGCGAGCAUUGGUGCUGGUUCUGUGGGCUCGCCGCUGCGAGGCCCGGUCAGCCAACACCUGUACGCGAAACAUUCUGACGUGCGCCUCCAGAUCUCGUCCCCGCGCUUCACGUCUGCCUCAAAGCCAUCACCAGCCGCCAGUCUUGGCUACUCUUCCCAGACCCCGCCGUCUGCUGGCGGCGCCACAACCCCGGAAGCUGCGGACGCAGCAGCUGGAACCGUCGCCUGCAGCAGCGGCAGCGGCCCUGUAGGUGGCCCGGAGGGGCCCGGCCUGCAGCUGCCGGCAGCUACCACGCCUGAGGAGCUGGAAGAGCUGCGGGCGCUGUGUGACAUGGCGCGGCAUCUACCGCAGCUGGGGCCGCUGGAGAGAGUGCAGCUGUGGGGCCGUGUCGGCGAAGUCUUGGCACACAAGUUAGCGCGCGCGAACCCUGUGGAGCAUCAGCACCAGCAGCGCGGAGGUAUUCCUGACCGGCCAGCGGGCGGGUCGAGGUACGCUACCCCCGUGAAGGCGACUGCUUUUGAGGCGGAGGAGCAACACGCAAGUGGGGAUGCCGAAUCGCCUGGUACCGCUGGCCGAGGCGCGGGGGAGCAACAGUGGGGCUCCCUACACAGUGGCGGUUCGCUGACCCGCGGCUAUGCCGCGGUCUGGGAGCGACGGCAGAACAGCACGGGCUCCCGGGGCCAAAGUAUGAGCCCAGCCCGCGGCGGCGAGGGCUCGGAUGUACCGGGCAACCAGAGCCCGGGCGCUGCCGCGGCCUCUCCUACACACACGGUGAGCUCCAGUACAGGGCCGGGCGGCGCCAGGCUGCGGCUCAUGCCACAGCAGCCGCGCUCCCCCGGCCCCGUGGCCGCGUCGGCAGCCGCUGCAGCGCCAGCUACUGGAAUGAGGUCGCCGGGCGGUGCGGGGCUACUGGACUCGACUAUGGAGGUGGUUCACCGGCUGAUUGCGCCCAAUGCGACCCUGGCCCAGGCUAUGAGUUUAAACUGGAAGGCUGUGCGCACGCACCUGGCCAGUCAGGAGGCGGCCGCCAGCCCGCAGCGCCUCGCGCUGUCACCCAAACACUGAGAGCUGGCUGGCGUUGUAGGCUUGGUGUAGAUGCUGUGGGCGCAUCAUGAUGGUGUUUGCAUGAGAUGCCACGAUCCCAUGUGUAUGUAUACUAAUAAGGUUGUUUCACAUGUUGGAUUUCAGUAUGGUAAGGUGGCAGGUCUGGACGGUUUGGGAGCUGCAUGCGCAACCAAUGAAGCCAUCGAGUAUACUUGCAGUCUCGGCUCAUAUUCUCCCGGCAACCUUCCUGAGCAAGCAUUCUACGCCCGUUAACACACAGGGCAACUUGUCUAGGGGGGCGACUUGCCAGAUUGCCUCGCGGGGAUUGGGCUACGGUUUCUCUGCGAGGCAUCAGCCACAGCGCCAGGCCGGUGUGUAAGCAUGGUUUACGAGUCCUUACCCAGCGCUGUCACACACAGAAGUCACGCCGAUUCGUGGCCUUUGCAAGCAGAGCAGCCGCUGGGAGUGAAGAGAGGCCCAGCUGCGGCAGUAGCAGUGGCGCGCGUCGGCUGGUGCACGCGGCCCCACCGUUGCCGCCGAUCCCUAGUACGGCAGAGAACGACAGCUGUUCCGCUGUUGCAGUGGUUGUGUGAUGGGACAGGGUUCAGGCAGGUUGGCGAGGUCCCAUAGGGUGCAGCUGACGCCCGUACCCCAAGCAGACAGCAAACAGUUUGCAGCGGCAGAGCAGGAGUGCAUGGCUGGUCGAACGCCGGAGUUACUGUACCGACAAGUUGCUGACUGGCUGGAAGUUUGCUGAUGCGCAUUCCUCACGCUCCGGGCGCCCGGCUAGGCGAAGCACCACACAGACACACCCGCUGUUGCAGUGGUUGGGGCUUGUAGUCCGCCAACCGUAGCGUCUGUGUGACGGCUUGUCAGUGUGUCAUUGAUCUAGCGCUGCGCAUGGCGGAAAUCACAUGCGCUGCCUGAGCCAUCAGCCGCCCAGUGGAUGCAAAGCGCUCACGCCCUGCGCGUCCCGGCGUGAGCUUUCUUGUGACAUCAGAGUUCAAAACUCCGAUGCGAUGUAUCUACAGCAAAUGCCACCUAAAUACGUCCUACACCGGCUGCGCCUGAACGUCUACUACUACUGACAACUGCUGCAACUUGUGCAAAAACGCUGAUGUUGCCACGCGCUGGCCACUACUGCAUGACCCGGGUUGCUUACGCACUCCAGUGCGUCUCCCUCUGCACGGACCACCAACCACUACAUUCAGCGCUCAUGCUGAUCACACGCGCACGAUAGGUCGGCGUUGUACGUCAAUGAACGUGGUCGCACACAAAGCCUCAACCAACCUAGGACUAACGCAGGCGAGGGGGGGUUUUAAGACCCCAGCAGGCCCCAGCUACAAGUACCAACCAGCAAAUGCAAAUUAUCUGUCUUUGUUCCUUUGCUAACAUCUCAUGAAGCUAUAAUGUAUAGGCCUUCAGUCUACAAGCCAAGAACUUCUAUGCCGACGCGCUAAUGGCCUCUGCCUGGGACUCAGCACGCCGCGCCUGCACCGACGCCAGCGCUGCGAGCGCCUUCGACUCAGCCGCCGCUGCCACCUCCGCCCUCGUCUCGGCCUCUGCGAGCACCCGAGCCGCCUCGUCAACACGUGCCUGUGCGUCCCGCUCAGCCUUCGCCUUCGCCUUCAUGGCCGCGCGCUCCUUCUUGCCCAUCCGCUUGGCAGGAGCAACCGACCCUUCCUCCGAAAUCGCGGAAGCAAUCGACCCCUCAGCACGGGCCUUGGCUUCAAGCGCUGCGCGCGCCCCCUCCACCGCGCGUGCCUUGGCCUCAGCAGCAGCUUGUGCCGCAAGUACGGCCACCCGCAGCUCCUCCUCCGCCCGUGCCUCAUCGGCGGCCGCCAGUAAAGCCCGCGCCUGCUCCUCGGCUUGCGCCCUAGCAGCGGCCUCAGCAGCCACCCGCGCCUGCUCCUCUGCUUGCGCCCCAGCAGCGGCCUCAGCCACCACCCGCGCCUGCUCCUCUGCUUGCGCCUUAGCAGCGGCCUCAGCCACCACCCGCGCCUGCUCCUCCGCUUGCGCCCUAGCAGCGGCCUCAGCCGCCACCCGCGCCUGCUCCUCUGCUUGCGCCUUAGCAGCGGCCUCAGCCGCCACCCGCGCCUGCUCCUCUGCUUGCGCCUUAGCAGCGGCCUCAGCCGCCACCCGCGCCUGCUCCUCCGCUUGCGCCCUAGCAGCGGCCUCAGCCGCCACCCGCGCCUGCUCCUCUGCUUGCGCCCUAGCAGCGGCCUCAGCUGCCACCCGCGCCUGCUCCUCUGCUUGCGCCCUAGCAGCGGCCUCAGCCGCCAGUAAAGCCCGCGCCUGCUCCUCUGCUUGCGCCCUAGCAGCGGCCUCAGCUGCCACCCGCGCCUGCUCCUCUGCUUGCGCCCUAGCAGCGGCCUCAGCCGCCACCCGCGCCUGCUCCUCUGCUUGCGCCUUAGCAGCGGCCUCAGCCGCCACCCGCGCCUGCUCCUCUGCUUGCGCCCUAGCAGCGGCCUCAGCAGCCACCCGCGCCUGCUCCUCUGCUUGCGCCUUAGCAGCGGCCUCAGCCGCCACCCGCGCCUGCUCCUCUGCUUGCGCCUUAGCAGCGGCCUCAGCCGCCACCCGCGCCUGCUCCUCUGCUUGCGCCUUAGCAGCGGCCUCAGCCGCCACCCGCGCCUGCUCCUCUGCUUGCGCCCUAGCAGCGGCCUCAGCCGCCACCCGCGCCUGCUCCUCUGCUUGCGCCUUAGCAGCGGCCUCAGCCGCCACCCGCGCCUGCUCCUCUGCUUGCGCCCUAGCAGCGGCCUCAGCAGCCACCCGCGCCUGCUCCUCUGCUUGCGCCUUAGCAGCGGCCUCAGCCGCCACCCGCGCCUGCUCCUCUGCUUGCGCCCUAGCAGCGGCCUCAGCCGCCAGUAAAGCCCGCGCCUGCUCCUCUGCUUGCGCCCUAGCAGCGGCCUCAGCCACCACCCGCGCCUGCUCCUCCGCUUGCGCCUUAGCAGCGGCCUCAGCCGCCACCCGCGCCUGCUCCUCUGCUUGCGCCCUAGCAGCGGCCUCAGCUGCCACCCGCGCCUGCUCCUCUGCUUGCGCCCUAGCAGCGGCCUCAGCCGCCACCCGCGCCUGCUCCUCCGCUUGCGCCCUAGCAGCGGCCUCAGCCGCCACCCGCGCCUGCUCCUCUGCUUGCGCCCUAGCAGCGGCCUCAGCUGCCACCCGCGCCUGCUCCUCCGCUUGCGCGUAAGCCUUCGCUGCUGCGCGUGCCUCCUCAUCGGCUUUCGCCUGUUUGGCGGCUUCGGCCUUGGCCUUUGCGACCGCGACGGCCUCCGCCUCUGCCUGUGCGGCCGCCUCCGCAGCUAGGCGAGCCUCUUCUGCCGCCUGAGCUUUGGCCGCUGCCUCAGCCUUCGCCUUGGCCGCUGCUGCCGCCUUGAUUCUGGCGGCCUCUUCCGCCUCCUGCUGUGCCUUUGCCAGCGCGUCAGCUUUUGACUUGGUUUCCGCCUCCGCCUUGUCCUCGACUACAGGGCGUGGGAUCUCCAAGCCGGAGGCAGCCAAUGCGUAUGCAAGCGCCUCCGGAUUCGCGCCCUGGACGUCAGGGAGCUGCGGGCAGGGCAACAUGAACCUUACAGUAAUAACAAGUGUUUAUUUUAAUGUUUUUAAUUGCAGCAACUCAGCAGCAUGCAGCUGCGCGAAAACUUGUCCCAGGUAACGCGAACAACCACGCCGUAGAACCAUGAGCACGGCUUUGCAACGCCUACCCCUUGGCCCGAAGCCCUCUUGCGCCGACCCACCAGCUGCUCCUGGAUAGUUUUGGCGGCUGUGUCGGGGUCCUUGGCCUCGCGCACGAUUGCCGCCAGUUUCUCCAGCUCAGCGGUGGCUCCCUUGGCCAUGGCCAGCACCGCCGCACCCGCGUCCCUGUCCUCUAGUAGCUUCCUGCAGGCAUUGGAAUGUGGUGUGUGUCGCACACAUGGCGCCAGACGGCGACGGUGGGAGGCGCCACAUAGAUGGUGGCGACGGCACUUGUCACCAUCGACCGGCCUGGUUCCCACUCGGCCCCCGUCCAAAACCUGGCCUGCCCCUUGCUGGCUCUCGCGCCUCUGCGCCUAUCUUAACCGUGCACACGCUCUCCGGCCCGCCCGCCCCAAGCUCUCUCACUUCGCAGCCGCCAGUGUGGCCUCUCGGUCCCUGGCAAACAGCAGGUUGCCCACCAGGAAGCGUGCCAGGCCCAGAGCACCCACCACCUCCACCAGCGCCUCCAGCUCUGAGCGGCAGUGAAACCGGCACGGGGGGCUUAAGAAUCAGUGUUGUCUCAUUUUCAGCAUUGCAGCGUGUCCCAGCUCAGCAAGCACCAGCGUAGCACACGUGUGCGCGCGCCCCGCACCCACCUGUGGACGCAAAGACGCCCAGCGCCGUCACACCCGCCCCCACCAACACGCCGUUAGCCAGCGUGGGAUUCUCCUUGUACUUGUCUGCAGGCGCACACACCAAAUGCACCGCCACGAACGUCCAUGUGGGCAGUUACGGGCAUGCCUCGCUUGCAUCCCAAGUUCAGAUCAUGAGUUGCGUGGCCGAGCACUGCCUAGGCGCCAGUCCCCUCCGUACCAUUGAGCGCGUGGAAGGCUUCGCUCGCCUUCUCCACUGCAUUGUAAAUCAGCCGUGUGUCCACGUCCGGCACCUGCAGUAAGGAAAGGGAGGUGGCCCCGCGGCAAGACUCCUUGAAAGUGGUGUCUGGAGUCUCCGGCCACGCAAUGCCACGGCGGCUUCAACACCAUCGCUCUGCCUCGUAGCCUUCCCAGCAUCCUCUACCCCAGUCCGGCAUCCGCCACAGUCUGCAGCUCCUAUCCUCCUCAGGCCUCCCACGCACGCACACGCACACGCACCUGCACCUGCGACUGCACCUCCUGCACCUUGUCAGCCAGGGCGUUGGGCAGCGCCUUCAGCUCCAUGGCGCGCGGCAGCUCCGGCAGGGCGGGCAGCUCCACCUGCGGCAUGAGCGCCGGCAGCUCCGGCAGGCCCGGCAGCUCAAAGGCUCGGUACGGCUUGGUGGGCAGGCCGCUUGCCUGCAUGUGGGCAACCAGGCAAGAAGGCGUUUAGAUGGAGCGCGCGGCCUCCGGCUAUCACUUUGCCGCAUUUCCGCUGCUUGUACGGCCAACACACUCCGGGGGCCACACGUGUUUGUGUCAGCGCGGCCGCAGCCCCGGUGCGCUCUCACCUUCCACCCUUUCGGCCCUUCCAUACCGCCCCGCAUGAAGAACACCUUUUCCUUCAGCAACCCCAGCUUGGCCACAUCCGCCGCCGCCCGGGGCGCCAGCGAGCCGUCUCUGUUUGGGCGGGAGGCGGCGAGUGUCAGCCGCAAAUGGAAUACAACAACAACACUGUGCCCACUGGCUUCCUCGGCUUCGCAUUGUUAGUCUUAUAGCAUCUUACUCGCUACAUUUGCAGCUACGCAGUCCCGAGUCUCGGGUGUCACUCACGAGUCCACCAGUAUAAGAAUGGAGUCGUCGUACACGCCCUGAGCCUCCAGUAGGUUGGCCGCGAAGUCGGCGUCAAUGGUCAGAACGCCGUCGGCCUCCUCCUGCAAGGGGCAAACGCGAGCCGCAGCGUGUCGGGUGACCACGGCGCCUACGACAGGCGGCGGUGCUUGGAGUCGCUGUACGGUGACAAACUUGCUUGUGUGAGGGCACGCACCCGCACGUACGGCACUGAGAUGGGGCUCUUGGCGCCGGUGUCGCGUGUGUCGAUGACGCCCUCCUCCCGCUGCAUGCUCCUGGGCCGAAUGUCCACCAACAUAGCACGCUCCUGUUGCGCCCAGCAACACAGAGCACAAACAUAGAUCUUCAUCAACGCGUCAUCCGUCAUCAUGUAGCGCGUCUUCAACCCCACACACCCAUCCAUCCGCUCAACGCCGUGUCCAUCUUCAACCCCACACACCCAUCGCAAGUAACACGAUUACUUCGCUGCCGCUGCAGUCACUCACGUCCGUGGUGGCCGCCUCGUAGGCCUGCAGUGCGGUGGUGGGUUGCGUCGUGGCCUUGUUGGCCAUGGCAAACGUGGCUGCCACCGCCGUGCCAAUGGCCGCGACUCCAGCGCCCAUCGCCAGGACCGGGUUCUCACUUGCAAGGGCUAGGAUGUCGGCGGCGCCAGCCAUGUCCGCCGCGGCUGUGAAAAGAGAAAUGAGGUCAGCUAGCAUUCCGGUGGCUUCCCUGUCGUGCCCGCCACGGUACCGUGAAUGCGGGCGCGGGCGCGGGCGCGCAGGGCGACGCACGCCACUGCCUGCCCUUCACCCCACCACAGCCCCAAUAUAACGCUCGCCCCAACCUCGCACUUCGCAUGCGGCACUUCCCUCACCACGUGACACACACCUGCAGCGGCAGCUUCGCCCGCGAUAAUGAGCGAGCCAAUCGCCAGGUUAUUGCGGGCGUUGGCGUGCAUGCGCACAGCCACCCGUGCACUUCGCGCCUGCGGGCGCGUUGGCGCCAAUUGCUGAAGUUUUAACACCAUGAUGGUUACUGACACGCGUCUAAAGCGCAGUGAGGAUGUUGUGCGGCGAUGCAAUUGGAAAGUCGAGUGUAUCCUUGAAGCUUCCAACGAGAUCGAUACCCAAGUGAAGGACAGUUCAUGCAGUGCAAGACCCUUUACAAACUCGCUCGGCAACGGAGCUGACGGCGACCCACAAUGUACGUGGGCUUCCACGCAACGCAGGCCAUCCGACGGCAUUGUGCAAGCAAAGUCGGACGUCUGCGCGCAACCGCAGGCCCAACCUCAUACGGCAUGCAAAUCUUCUAGUGUGUAAACGUUUCGCUACUGAAUUGCACGUCGACGCAGGCUGCCUAAAGCCGGUUGAUGUGCCAAACCCUACCAGCCCCUGGCGCCCGCACUGCACCCUGCAUGCGUCCCUCCGUGACCUCCCAGCAGGUGCCCGCGUGGCCAUCUGCUCAAACCAAGGCCUCAAAUCUACAAACCACUGCCUAUUUCAAUCUGAGCGCUUAGCUCAUACCUUUCUCGCACCUGGUGUAGCGCCAACACCACCACUCAGGACCACUCCUGCUGACCGGUUCUACCGCAGUUGCGCGAAACGUUCCCCGCUGAACCAACCGCUCGCCUGCACACAUGCGCUGCCACUUGCGCCUCUGUCCGCAUGCUUGCAAGCCACGUCAGCGCACGCGACGGACCCUUGAGCCACGCAGCAGAUAGCUGUGGGCCUUCUAAGUGCAGGCCUCCAGCCUGCAACUGCUCCGCUGCAUUACCAGUCCCUGUUGACGCUUUCCAUUGACACUGCUCCCCGCUUAUGCUACAAGCUCCCGCUCUAACCACUUGAUGCAUAAAAGUGCAAGAGUGCUUUAACUCGUGCAUGUGCCGCACUGGCUUAAGCAUCGACAGGCCCCGCCUUCCCUACAGUCCCGCUCACACCCUGCGUCCCGCUCGGUCGUCGGUGAACCCAGCAGGGGCAUUCUGCCCACAGUGACCCGUAUCGACUGUGUUGGUGCUGUAUCAGCCCAGUGUGCCUGCUUCAAGCCCAAACGCACGCUCACUGCCACCUCGAGAACCGCGUGGGAUGCAAAAACGAGAUGUGGAAUUGGUCGCACAGCUCGUACGCCUUGGACUUGGCAUCCUGCCACUCCGCCGCCCCCCGGCUUCGUUCGCACGCCCUGCCAGGAUGAGCAACGAAUACACGGUGAGAGGACACGUGGGGCAACACGUCGGGCAGCAUGUAAAUGGUAUAUGCCGGACGUGCGGAGUACGGAACUCACUCGAUGAGGCGCUGUGCUGAGGGGUACCUGCGUCAGCACAUGCAUGGGAGGCACAGGACAUGAGUAGGAGCUCUAACACCCCGCUGGUGUCCACCGCGACUGCCCCGCGAUCUCAGCUGAGGUAGCUGACUCCAGCCCGAACCAAACACGCGUGCUGUACAGCCUGUACUGUACGCACCUGUACACCUCGUAAACCUGAUUGAGCUGCCCCACGUCCGAGUGCGCCAGCAGCGCUAGCUGCCCCACACCAUCCGCCGCCAGCUUGGACGGCAGCCUUACAACAGACAUGGACCAACGGCACACGACGGGUCAACGUCAAUGCACAAGUUGUGUUGGUAUCCUUUAGGGGCUCAACGAUAAGCCGCAGUGCAGCGCUGCGUAUAAGCUCCGAAGCCUGACAUGGUCAUGCCUGGGGGUGGAUAUCGUAUGGCCAAAGCCCAGCUAAGCAUGUAACACUGAGAGCCCCGUGCUACUGACAGCCGGCCUGGCCGGGGCCCUGACAUGCCGGUGACUGUCACGCGCCCCGCCCGGCCUUCCCUCAGCUCCUUCCUGGCAGCCAAUUUGCCCGUCUUGCCAGACAUUGACGCGAUAUGUAGUUGCGUGCGGCCAUCCCUUGAACACUUCAUUCACCCGGUUUUGAAAGCCGCCAUCAACGCCUUGACGCCGUUGCGCCCCGGCCUCAGUCGGUAGUUCCGCAGCUCGUACACCACCUGGUCGGCGGAGCUGCCCCCAGCCCCGCCCGCCGCGGCCGCCGCUGCUGGUUGGAAGCCUGAGGCGCAGCCAAUCCCGGCUGCUGCGUAUACAUCCGCCGGUGCCUGCAGCAAGAUGGUGGACUCCUGUACACAAUCAUCAAUAGAAGGGUGAGGAGUUGGUCGGGCACCGCCAGGUCACGGGCAAGAGGAAACAAGGUGCGGCACGUGCAGCGCCAGUACCCCUCUUUGCCUGGCUGCGCUGCAAACCGUACCUUCGUCAGAAUGCACGACCGCGCUGCGUCCGUGUACCGCUGCCAGUCGGCGUGGGCGGCGGCUGCCCGGCGCGUGGCGUCUCGGGCACUGUAAUUCUGCAGAUGAAACCAGGCGGCGGUCCAACCAAGUCCGUCCGGUGGCCUACUGUUAUUGGUGCUGGGCCCCCGGCAACACGGUGUAUUCGCCGCAACUCAACCGCCCACCUCAAAGUGGUACAUAUGCACGACACGGCUAACGUUGCCACCUGUGUCGGCCGUGAACAUGCUGCAUGGCGGGAAGCGUAGGUAUCAGCCUCAUGUACCGCGAAGACACGGUAACUAAGCAAACCCGGUACACCGAUGUUUGAACGGCGUUCCCGUGCUCACCCUAGAAAUCCCUUGUACACUUGGGUGCGCGCCGCCGCAUACUCCGUCGAAAGCGCCAGAAAACGCUUAUAUUCGGACGCGUGAAGUACAUAGUCUCUGUCGUGAUUAAAGAAAACAGGCUGUGUGUGGCGCGGUUGCGGACUUCACAAGCAGCAGCCGCAAACAACGCACUGCACGCGCUGCCCUUAAGCACCGCGUCACGCAUGCUGCGCCUAUCUCCAUCAUUCGCGGUUAGUAGAGGCAUGUGCCUCUAGCAGGGAAGAAGUAUCCUUCCAACCAGGCGUGCUGACGCGUGCAAGCGACAAUUUGCCUGCGCCACCAUCCCACCAUGCUCAGGAAGCCCACCAUCUGCGCCAUGGCCCCUGCCGCGAGCUAACUUGGGUCAGCUUAGAUAAACCUCCCAACUAGAGAGCGCACCUUAGCUCGAUUAUUCCCGCUGGUGCAUUGCUAGCGUGCGUGGAGUUGCGCCGCAACAAGCGACACGCCACGCUGGUCGCUUUUACUGGCAUUUGUUUGCUAGUAAUAUUCGGUCAUAAAAUGCUAUGCAGGUUAGGUCGUCUAGAGUUCUUGCAAGCAAACCGGUCGGUUGCUCAGCUACAAGUCUCUUGGAUCCAGGAUUGGGACAAGUCCCUCAAGCCUCAGCUUCUACUUCCCCUUGAAAACGCAGUACACACAACUUGGCCUAUAUAUAUUUAUAGCCUACUUCACGACGCUGGCACCCCAGCCCGUAUCGCCUCGACAGCUGACUCCCCCGACCGCUACGUACCGAAGCGCUAUACCACCGAAUUCAUUCUUAAGCGCUAGCUUGAUAAUCAGUGAGGUCAGAGAGAAUGAUUAAAGGCGUGAACCGACCAGCCAUUUUCUAUGACUUGGUCGGGCUUGCGCACUCAGGCGUGGUAUCUGUGGGCAGAGAGAGCGAUUCUACUAUACGCCUCGACUGCCCGGAAGUCCCUUUCCUGCUCUCGCGCAAGCAUGCUAAAAUUUGCGUCAAUCCAGACGGCAGCCUUAUUCUGAAGGACAUCAACUCCACGAACGGCACCUACAUCGCUCGUGAAGGCGAAUUUCUCAGGCGGCUGCGGUCGGAUGAGGGCUGGGAGCUACGCCGCGGCGACCUGGUGAGAGUGAUUGCGGGGUGCAUGGGCUUUUGGGGUACCAACGGGGGUGGUGGCAUUGCUGCCUGCUUGUUGGGUUCCCAUAGUGCGGGGUGGGCGAUUGCAGGCCUGCGCAUUCGUGAUGCGGAGGCGGCGAGUUGCCACCGGCUAACUGCGGGUCACCGGACGCGGGCCCAGCACCCAGCUCCUUGCUUGCCCUGGUCUCCCUGCUGCCUUGCGGACUGCUUACAACCGUGGGCACUGGUGCUAUCUAUGCAUGCAGAUUGGCUUUGGCGGGCCGGAGACCAUUGUUGCGCGUAGCGAUGUGCCGGACGUCACCGUCGCCAACCCCUUCCUGUUCCGCUACACGCCGCUGGACGACGAUGCAGAUAGUGCGUUUAACUCGUCUGCAGAGCAGCAGCUGCUGGGCAACGGAGCGCAGGUAGGUGUUUGCGGCAGUCAAGCAACCUGCGUAUUGUACGGCUGCGGGAAUGGCCAAAGCGGGCCAAGCUGUACGUGUUUCGGAGUCAUAGACUGCUGAGGCCUGUCGUCCACGUCGGCGCCAUGCAGGGUCGCGCACGGAAAUUCAGCGAAAUUGAAGACCGCUGCCAGCAAGAGGACAUGGACUGCGAGGUGGCGUCCACCAGCUCACCCGACAAAGAGAGCAAGAAGGCCAAGACGGCGGUGACAGCAAAGGACAUCGUGUCUAACCUAGCAAACCACCUAACGUGUGCCAUCUGCCACGACUGGCUCGCUGGUGCACAUGCGCUAACAUGCGGGCAUAUGUUCUGCGGCAUCUGCCUCGCGGGGUGGCUGGCACAAAAGCAAUCCUGCCCGGAGUGCCGGAAACCGAGUGCAGGCAAGUUGCAAGCGGCAUUAAUUGCAUGCUGGUAGAUGACUUGCAGAAGCACUCACAGCAUCCUGGCUCGGAAACAUGCGAAUUGCAGUUCAUGACGUGGCGCCGGUGUCGCAACAUCUCCUUCCAUUCUCGAUCAUACAGGUGUCCCUGUGAGGUGCCGCGGUGUCGACAACUCCAUCUCUGACAUCCUCCAACACAACCUGGUGUCGCCGAACUCAAAGCGUGAAAGGCGUCGGAAGCAGCUGGCGUGGGAGGAGGUCGGAGACGGUGUGCUUGAAAGCUGGACAAAUGCGAUGCAGCAGCGGCGGCAACAGGUAUGCAUGGGAGCUGCAGUCGGCUCACACGUGUGUCGCUGGUCUGCCUGCUGCGCAGAGUAGAGGAGUGAAGGUUAUUGCAAGAUUAUGCAUUUCCUUUACUGUAUACAAACCCCUGUCUGCAGGCUGUGAACGUAGCAUCGCAACACCUAGCAAACCUGACGGGGCAACCUGCACCUGCGCCGGUUGCUGCUGCACCACGACCAGACGGCGCCGUGGUUGGUCAGAACACGCGGCGGGCCAACCAAGGCGGCGCGCCGCCAGUCAACCGGCCAGCCCGGUGAUAACGCCUUGCUCGGUUGCAUGGGGCGGGCAGUAGGCAUCAGAACGCAUGAUUCCUGGGACUUCGCGCUGCACUGCAUCUCUCCUGCAGCUGGCGAAAGCAUUGUGCAGUAGACUGCACUGGUAGCGGAGUGCUGUCGAAACGCGAACGCGAAUGUGCGCGACACGAAGAGACGUUGUAGUCGCUAGCACGCAUAGAAGGCCGGUUAGCAGCACGGGUAGUAUUUGUUCAGGUAGUCAUGGUGUGCUGGAACGGAUACCGGACGGAGUUCACUUGCCACCUGCUGUACUUGCGUCAGUGCUCAUUGCAAAUGGAUACCACGCAAACAGGCUGGACGUGCGAACGAUGUGGGCCCACGCUGAUGACGCAAUGCAAAUUAUUGAAUGGUCUAGAGGCUGCCGUUGGCACUCCGUACUCCGAUGAAGCUGUGACCCUGUCCUGUACUCCUUCCUGUCCUGUUACAAGGCUCUAUGGCCUCACGCAUCGCCUGUCCUUACUAAUUCAGUCAACUGCACAACCAGCAGUGUCGUCUUUCGAAAUGAUGGCGGGCCCGGGCAUCCAUCAAAGGACAAGUUCUGGUCACCUGUCUCAACCAAGCAUUGCAUGCUAUACCUUACUCUCAAAGCUCGUGUCAUUCCUGUGUGAGAAGGCCACACAUGCCACCCAAUCGCACAUUACACCUGACACUUCAGCUCGUGGCCCAUGGCAUGCAAACCAAUGUGGCGGUCCUUGUAUCCAUCAGCUCUAGCCGUUCGCCGCCGGACCUGGGGCCUUCAGCUGUCUCUAACACCGGAACCGUCUCCAACAUAGAAAGCCCACGCCAGGUAGUCCUUGCAACAUUGCUCCGUCAACGUUCCAGUACAUGAAACCAGUGUCAAGCCGUACGUCACCCGCUCUGAACUCCUGCAACGGCUCCUUGACGGCUCUCGCCCUCAUGCACGCACUCACACACGCGUGCAUAUCAUACGCGCACGCACAUUCUCGUGUGCCCGCAUUUCUCCGCCGUACAGUUGCAGCCACACCCUCCUACACUGUCAACAUUGCGGUACACACCCAGUCAGCAAAGCACUGCACUACAUCAGGCCUGUGUUCAGUACUUGUUGAUGCCAAAGAACCGGACCUUGUGCAGCGCUGGCAGUUUGGCGAUAAGGAGCACCAAAACAACAGCCAGGUUCACACCCAGUGGCUGCUUCCUAAAGUCGGUGCCGUGCGUUGCCAGCACGAACAGCAGGACGGGGACUACGGCGAAGAUUUUCCGGUUGCGUGUCCCGUAGGCCUCCCCGUCUACCUGCUCCCAGAAGGUGAGAGCUUCAUACUUGCCCUGGUCCUCGGGGUUGGGAGACCCCUUGAGCCAGUGAAGGAGGUAGUAUGUCAGGACUCCAUGAAUGAUGUGCACGUAGGUCCACGCAAGGCCCGCGUCGUCGAUAAGCGCCGAGAUGCCGAGCCAGCCCAGCACGAUGAGCGCCAGGUACCAGGUCCACACGCUAGGGUAGUUGAGCCAGUUCGUGUUUUUGUUUACAUCGACCUCUGACACCGUCCGCCGAUGCGGCAUCGCGCCGGCCCUCCUUCGCGAAGACGAAAAAGAAAGACGUUCACCCAAAGGCCAGGCGGUGUUAGACUGGACUAAAUUAUAGUCGUAAGCUCUAGAGGGGCAGACUUGUGAUGGCGGUGGCUUGGAAAGCGGGAAAGGGAAGCAGCGCGAAGGCAGAUGCAGUGGCACAGCUCAGGUGUGCAGCUGGGUUGCGGUGUGUAUUUGUGCUUAGCUUUGUAAGUCUAGGUAAAUGAGACUUGUAUGCAAAAGGAUGCUGGACAGGGGCGAAACACAAGCGAGCCUUUCCCCCUUCGCUCCAUGCAAGCCCCCCGAGCACGCGACACUGCUCACUCCUAAAUGUGGACCAGCACCACUGCAUUGCCCUAUGUGUGUAUGACCUUAUGGAUAUGCAAUUGUGCGUCACCUUGGCAUUUUAGAGUGCGCGGGCCUGUGCGCGGGCUGAGCUCCCCUUGCUCUACGCAAAUGACAAAGUCUAGAUCGUCUUGUUCAGUAUGAAGAAAGAUUCUGCUGAUGGCAACAGCGCAGGCCGAGCGGCGCCUUCGCCUCGCGGCGACGAGGUCCCUGCUCUAUAGCCUGCCAAUUAACGAGCUGUUUGAGCUCCCUGGGCGGCCGCACGUCGUCUAUCAGCUCCGCAGCUAUGCUAAUACUAGCAAUCCGGAAGAAGCUGCAUUGGCAGCUCGCAGUGACUCGCCCUUCCUCUUCAAGGCGUUCGAGACGGGGCAAAUCGGCCCCAAGCGCCUUGCUCGCAUCCAUGGCGGCAAGCCGCGGGUCCACACCAUUCAUGAAUACCUAGAUUGGACGGUUACAGCCCAGGCGGCCGAGGGUGACGACGAUCUGGUGGGUAUGCGCAUGUGCAUGCCGACCGCCAACAUCUUAGGCAUUGGAGUGCCGCUCGCUCUCUUCUCCCCCUCGCAACAUCAACACCUCCCCCUCCAAGCAUAUUACCCCUGGCUUCAGCUGACGCGCACGGUCUCUCACGUUCGCACGCAGGACUUCGGCGGCUUCCGCGUGCUGGUGAUUCUGCCUCGGUACCGCAGCGGCUGGCCCCCGCCGGGCGGGGACGUCACGGCGGCGGAGGAGCUGCGCAAGCCCAGCGUCAUGGGAGCCCCAAAGAGCCCCAUACCCGUACUCCAGUCGCACGGAAAACCCGUUACAGCUGCGACCAUCCGCUCCGGACCGGGCUACCUAGAAAUUCCCUUCGUGGCCACGCACGAGAACAAGCGCGGGCGGGGCUACUGCAGGUGCGGACGGGAUGUGCUCCGCACACAUGGGGGCGCCAACCAUGGGGAUCCCACAGAGCGUGUCUGUGGUUAGAUUGGAUUCACGACACUAUACCAUGUGGCAGCCUCUCCUCCCGCACGGGUACCAUUCCCUCGGACGACGCUCCAGCUACCUCCCGUUGAAGCUACGUCCACAUGCUGCCACGCCCUUGCCUGACCCUCGUGCCACCCCUGCGCCUGCCGCUCCAGGUGUCUGGUGGAGGCCGUUGAAGAGAUCGCUCGGACGCUGGGGCUGAAGCGCCUCAUGCUGUGCAGUACCAACGACGCGUCGGUGCAGUCCACGUGGAAGCACCUGGGCUUCCACUACUGCCCGGACGAGCAGAUGGAGGAGUGGGACAUCCUGCACACCGACAUGGUGUACCUGCAGAACACUACGCAGAUGCAGAAGGACGUGCCGGCGCCGCGCCGCUUUAAGCCGGUGAUAAUCAAGCAUGAGGACUUCAAGCAGCGCAGCUACGCGUUCGUGGGCUUCAAGCGCGCGCUGCCGCCCGCGCGGCGCCACCCACCGGCCAAGCGCGUCAGCAGCAAGGCGCCGCCCAAGAAGGCACCGGCCAACAGUGAGGUCAGCGAGCGCAGCGAAUGCAGCAAGGACGACUCCCUGUCCGUAGCGGCGCGCACCGACCCCAUCGGCGCCGGGCUGCUGCCCAACGGCGGCGGCGGCGCCAGCAGCUCCAUGGUCGGCCGCGGCUCGCACGUCGGCGCGUCGCCACUGGGCAUCGGCGCCGCCGGCACCACGCCACUUGGCGGGCGAUUGCCCGGCGGCGAUGAGCCGCUGAUGGGCGGCGUGGCGGCGGGUGGGCUGCUGCACCCGCGUGACGACCUGCUGAUGGCGGGUGGCGGGCCGCCCACACCGCAGCCCGCAGACGGCGAGCCGCUGCGGCCGCUGCACAUGCACAUGCCGGGCGACGGGCCCGGCACCUCGCACUCGGCACUGGGGCGGCCGGGCAUGGAUGGGCAGCUGCACAUGGGCAUGCUGCCGCCGCCGGGCGAUCAGGGUUUGGGCUUGUGCGGGCCGGGCGGCCCCGGGCGGCUGCUGUGGCCUAACAACGGGCAACUUGGGUCGGAGGGGCUCGGACCAGGGCCGCCGCCAUUGGGGGCGGGCGCUGGGCCAGGCAGCAUGGGUGGCAACUUCGGCUGGCAGGGCAUGGCUGGCGGUGGCGUUGAUAACCUCUUGCAGCCGCAGCAGCAGCUCAGUUUGCAGCCGCUUCCCAUGCAAGGCGGAAGCAGCAUGGGCGGCGGCAUGGGCGGCGGCAUGGGUGGCGUCAUGGGUGGCAGCUUGGGCGGCGGCAUGGGCAGCAGCUUCGAGAGCUCCGGGGUGAUGCGGCAGGGGCUAUCACCGUCGCUGCAGCCCAACCCCGGCAACAUGCAACUCAGCAUGCAGGGCAUGGGUCAAGCGCCGAUGCUGCAGGGCAGUCCGCAGCCCGGGAGGCUCCAGCACAGCUCGCAGACUGGCAUGAUCCAGGGUAGCCCGCAGCUAGGAAUGAUCCCGACUGGGCCGCACCCCAAUCUGCUGCAGGGUAGCCCGCAGCCAGGGCUGUUGCAGCCCGGCAGCAACCAGCAGCGCGGGUUGCAGGGCGGGCAGAUGCAGGGCGGGCAGAUGCAGGGCGGCAUGCUGUCACUGCAGCCCGGCCCGCACGGCCAGUUCCAGAAUCGGCCGCUUAGCAACAUGCAGGGCGGCCUUUCGCCCAGCUUGCAGCAGCAACACCAGCACCAGCCCAACAUGAUGCUCAGCGGGCAGGGCGGCAUGCCACUCAGCCUGCAGGGUGGUCCGCUGCAGGGCAUGCACGGCUUGCAGCCGGGCGGGCAGGGUAUGCCGCUCACGCUGCAGGGCGGCGGGGGCCCCAUGACCAUGCAGGGCGGGCAGCAGCCAGGCGGCCAGCUCACGCUGCCAGGCAUGCAGCAGCAGGGGAUGCAAGUGGGUAUGCAGCAGCAGAACAUGGGAAGCAGCCUCAUGGCUGGCAGGCCCAUGGGCAUGCAGCCGGCCGCCACCGCAUCCAAUCUGCCGCACAUUAUGCAGCCGGGGAGUAUGUCGCUGAGCAGGCAGCCCGGCAGCCAGCCCGGUCAGAUGUUAGGCAUGCAAGGUAGCCUGCAGGGCGGCAUGCAGGGCGGCGGCAUGUCAACGGGUAUGUCCACGGGAAUGCUGCCUAGUGGUAUGGUGCCAAUGACCAGUGGCAUGAUGCCCAGCGGCAUGGUGCCGGUCAUGCAGGGCGGCAUGGUGCCGCAAGGAGGCCAGCAGGGCCUGGGCCACGGCGUCCAACCGCAGGGCCUGUACAGCAGCAGCAUGCAGCUUGGGCCCGGGGCCGGGCAGCAACAGGUCGGCGGGCUGCCAGGCGGGAGGCCCAUGAACAUGGCGGGAGGGCAGCAGUCGCACAUGCAGAUGGGCCAGCCCGGGGUCCAGCAGCAGCGGCUUGUGCAGCCGCCGCCAGGAAUGGGCUUCGUGCCGGCGCCCGGCACAGGAUUCGGCGGACCGGGCAUGCUGCCAGAUGGCGCGGGGUGAUUGGUGAACAUGACGCAGCUUCUCGAAGGAGCGUGUAAACUGUACCUCUACUUGGCGUAUUCUUGGCGUGUGUACUUUUGGGUGUGCGUGAAAGCAGGUGUGGGCUUCGGUUGUAAAUGUGUGCGGACGGAGUGGUGCCAUCCGCACCAAAGCAGCCGUUUUUGUUUCCAGCUAUUUAGAGUAGCAGACAAGAGCUCAGUUUGGGUUUAGAUGUAGGCUGCAAGGACUGUAGCGUGAUUGCCAAUGAGUGAGCACAAGAAGCAGGAAUCAGCAGUCAGGGCAGGCGAGAGAGUCUCGAGAUACGAGCGCACUGGACAGGACCAGGAAGUGUAGGACUUGCAUGCUUUAGGCCGUAGCUGGUGUUCCAUGUAAAGGCAGUCAGCGUGCAGCCGCGCACUGGGUGCCUGUAGCGAGUCGGUGUCUCGGUGAAUGCGCCACACGCGUUUGGCCUGCGCCUGAAUUUCGAACACCGCGAAUGGGGAACCUGGUGCGACCGAGGACGGCGAGAAGUAGCCACGAAGGCACAAAGUACAGGAACAGCCAAAGCGGCUGUGAGUUAGGAUCGGCCAAAGCGAAAUAGGACACAGCGUAUCUUUGAAAGUGACGGGACGCAUGCGACGGCCUCGCAGGAGAGGCAGCCCCGAAGAGGAGACGUGAGAGGAGACCCUUGGGGAGACCCUCCCAGGUCAACCGCUCCACGCCCCCCCCACAGACCGACCGCUCUGCCUUUCAGCAUCGCCAUCGGUGUAUAUAUGUACCUGAGUGAUACAACCCAUUGUAGUGGGGUGCGCGCUUGCGAGGGACACGGGCUGGGGAUUCACUUGCCGCAAGACUGCAAGUGCAAUUGCACCUCGCCUUGAAGCUGUGUUCAAUAUCGCAGCGUUUCGCGUGCAAGUAGUGGCGCAUGCAUUAAGUGGUUUUUGCCGCGAACCAAGCCUUGAAUAUGCUGGGAAAAGCCUCGCCGCCGCGAGCGCUUUCUCCUGCCGGGCCUGAGCCGCUUCCGACACGGUGCUAGGGCAUUUUGUGGUGAUAUGCAUUGCAACGCGACGUAGCAGAUCGCUUUUAGGGGCGCAAAUUGGGCUGGGUCGCAUGGGGCAUACGGGCCCAUCGGGGAAGUUUGCGCCUAAAGCCUCGCCGCCUUGCCCAGGCUCUCCCUUAUUACACCUCGUGGUGGGUGUCUUUUAACAUAGCGGCUGCAUAGAAGCCGUCACCCCUUCCCCUGAGUGGGCCUUUGUAGAACAAGGCGUGAAAAAUGGUGAGGCGCUCCAGCCGACACCUCUCCUUUUGCUCUCGCGGCCGGCUCUGCCGGUCCGCUAGGUCUGCUGGGCAGCUUAGCGUGACUUUCUUGGUCCUGGACUGUUGGUUUGGCGCUGCAGGUGAAGUUCACCAUGGAGGAGAUCCGUGCGCUCAUGGACAAGCCUCACAACAUCCGCAACAUGAGUGUGAUUGCUCAUGUGGACCACGGUAAGCUCCUCUGCUAUGCUCAAGAUGCUUGGACUGCGCUAACUGGGCGUGUCGCGCUGAUGUGCAGGCAAGUCGACCCUCACCGACUCGCUGGUGGCUGCGGCCGGUAUCAUGGCCGUCGAGCAGGUGCGCCGCCAAGAGAUCCCCCCGCGCACCGACCCCUUCCGACCGCCCCUAUUGACGCAUUUUACAUUUUCUCCUGCAGGCCGGCGACGCCCGCCUGACGGACACCCGCGCCGACGAGCAGGAGCGCGGUAUUACCAUCAAGUCGACCGGCAUUUCGCUCUACUACCAGAUGACCGAUGACGACCUGAAGAACUUCACUGGUCAGCGUGAUGGCAACGACUAUCUGGUGAACCUGAUUGACUCGCCCGGUCACGUCGACUUCUCUUCGGAGGUGACCGCCGCGCUGCGCAUUACCGAUGGCGCUCUGGUCGUCGUGGAUUGCGUGGAGGGUGUGUGCGUGCAGACCGAGACUGUGCUGCGCCAGGCCCUGGCUGAGCGCAUUCGCCCGGUGCUGACCGUCAACAAGAUGGACCGCUGCUUCCUGGAGCUGAUGCUGGAGGGUGAGGAGGCCUACACCACCUACCUGCGUGUGAUUGAGAACGCCAACGUCAUCAUGGCCACCUACCAGGAUGAGGCCAUGGGCGACAUCCAGGUCUACCCCGACAAGUCGACCGUGUCCUUCUCCGCCGGUCUGCACGGCUGGGCUUUCACCCUGACCACCUUCGCGCGCAUGUACGCGUCGAAGUUCGGCACUGAUGAGGCCCGCAUGAUCACCAAGCUGUGGGGCGACAACUUCUUCGACCCCGCCACCAAGAAGUGGACCACCAAGCAGACCGACUCGCCCAGCUGCAAGCGCGGCUUCGUGCAGUUCAUCUACGAGCCCAUCAAGCAGAUCAUCGAGCUGGCCAUGAAGGACGCCAAGGACAAGCUGUGGCCCAUGCUGGAGAAGCUGAACGGUGGGCAUGGUGUGGUGGGUGGUUCGGGCCGCGGUUUGGGGGUUAACGGUUGGUCAUGGUCAACUGACUGGAUCGGCCGGCGGCAUCGGCCGGGCAACUCGGGGCAGUUGGCGUCUGCUCCUGCCGGUUCUCACACGUCCCAGUUCUCUUGUGCGUGCGUCCUGGCAUCUGACUAACAGCUGCACAUGUCCCUGUGCUACGUUCAGUGAUCGGCCGCCUCAAGUCUGACGACAAGGAGCUGAGCGGCAAGCCCCUGAUGAAGCGCAUCAUGCAGAGCUGGCUGCCCGCCAACGAGGCGCUGCUGGAGAUGAUCGUCUACCACCUGCCCUCGCCCGCUAAGGCCCAGCGCUACCGCGUGGACGUGCUGUACGAGGGUCCCCUGGACGACACCUACGCCACCGCCAUCCGCAACUGCGACCCCAACGGUCCCCUGAUGGUGUACAUCUCCAAGAUGAUUCCCACCGCCGACAAGGGCCGCUUCUUCGCCUUCGGCCGUGUGUACUCCGGCAAGGUGGCCACCG